rnacentral:rRNA from 1 species
UCGGGAAUUUUGGGCAAUGGGCGAAAGCCUGACCCAGCAACGCCGCGUGAGGGAUGAAGUAUUUCGGUAUGUAAACCUCGAAAGAAUGGGAAGAAUAAAUGACGGUACCAUUUAUAAGCUCCGGCUAACUACGUGCCAGCAGCCGCGGUAAUACGUAGGGAGCAAGCGUUGUUCGGAUUUACUGGGCGUAAAGGGCGCGUAGGCGGCGCGGUAAGUCACUUGUGAAAUCUCUGAGCUUAACUCAGAACGGCCAAGUGAUACUGCUGUGCUAGAGGGCGGAAGAGGCAACCGGAAUUCUUGGUGUCGCGGUGAAAUGCGUAGAUAUCAAGAGGAACACCUGAGGCGAAGGCGGGUUGCUGGGCCGACACUGACGCUGAUGCGCGAAAGCCAGGGGAGCAAACG